ensembl:snoRNA
UGGUCAUUACCAAGGCUUUUAGAAUGCAUUUUCUCAUUUGCUGUGGACAUGACCAUAAAAAAAUUUCCCAGUAGGUUUUCUAUCUGCUACUUUGCUAGCAAUCCGCUUAUUGGGAACAGUU